rnacentral:lncRNA from 1 species
UAUGCUUAUCAGAGCUUAAUUUAUAAAGCUUCAUGCUUCCAAAAUUUCAAAUGAAGCCAAUUGCCAAGAUGCCUUUCCGAACUCGAUUGAUCCAAACUACAAAGGCAGUCGACUCUCUCACACUCAAAAAUUCACCAAAAAAUCAUUUUUAUUCCAAAUAAAGCAAAACUUAUCUUGUUGAAAAGCUUACAACAAAAGCUAAAUUUUUUUAGAAUUUUAUAUAAAAAAAAAGAAAUUGAGUGACUGAUUGAAGAAAAUCCGAGGCCCUCAAAACCUUUGGAAUAUUUGGGGAUCCCAAGGCAGCUAUCUACUUCAAUGAAGCAUCUUUUCAAACUUAAUGACCCUCCUUCACAAUUCAAAAUCCAUACACAUACAAUCAAAAGGUCCAAAAUGAGAUUUUAAGUCUAAAAAAAAUUAAGAUUAGGAUUUUGGCCAAAUUUUGGCAUGACUUCGUUCUUCACUCAAAAGAGGAGAGAGAGAGGGCUUGGAAAACCAAGCCUCUCU